AAGAAGACCCUGUUGAGCUUGACCCUAGUCUGACCUUGUGAAAAGACAUGAGAGGUGUAGAAUAAGUGGGCGCAGCAAUGCGCCGGUGAAAUACCACUACUCUUAUAGUUUUUUUACUUAUUCGAUUGAGCGGAAGCGAGCUUCACGGCUCAUUUUCUAGAAUUAAGGCCCCAUCGGCGGGUCGAUCCGUGUCGAAGACACUGUCAGGUUGGGAGUUUGGCUGGGGCGGCACA
rnacentral:rRNA from 1 species